CGCUGGCGGCGUGCCUAAUACAUGCAGGUCGAACGCACUCUCGUUUAGAUUGAAGGAGCUUGCUCUGAUUGAUAAACAUUUGAGUGAGUGGCGGACGGGUGAGUAACACGUGGGUAACCUGCCCUAAAGUGGGGGAUAACAUUUGGAAACAGAUGCUAAUACCGCAUAAAACCUAACACCGCAUGGUGUAGGGUUGAAAGAUGGUUUCGGCUAUCACUUUAGGAUGGACCCGCGGUGCAUUAGUUAGUUGGUGAGGUAAAGGCUCACCAAGACCGUGAUGCAUAGCCGACCUGAGAGGGUAAUCGGCCACACUGGGACUGAGACACGGCCCAGACUCCUACGGGAGGCAGCAGUAGGGAAUCUUCCACAAUGGACGAAAGUCUGAUGGAGCAACGCCGCGUGAGUGAAGAAGGUUUUCGGAUCGUAAAACUCUGUUGUUGGAGAAGAAUGUAUCUGAUAGUAACUGAUCAGGUAGUGACGGUAUCCAACCAGAAAGCCACGGCUAACUACGUG
rnacentral:rRNA from 1 species